AUUGAACGCUGGCGGCAUGCCUUACACAUGCAAGUCGAACGGCAGCACGGGAGCAAUCCUGGUGGCGAGUGGCGAACGGGUGAGUAAAGUAUCGGAACGUGCCCAGUCGUGGGGGAUAACGUAGCGAAAGUUACGCUAAUACCGCAUACGAUCUAUGGAUGAAAGCGGGGGAUCGCAAGACCUCGCGCGAUUGGAGCGGCCGAUAUCAGAUUAGGUAGUUGGUGGGGUAAAGGCUCACCAAGCCGACGAUCUGUAGCUGGUCUGAGAGGACGACCACCCACACUGGGACUGAGACACGGCCCAGACUCCUACGGGAGGCAGCAGUGGGAAAUUUUGGACAAUGGGCGAAAGCCUGAUCCAGCCAUGCCGCGUGCAGGAUGAAGGCCUUCGGGUUGUAAACUGCUUUUAUACGGAACGAAAAGGUUUGGCCUAAUAAGCUGAGCUCAUGACGGUACCGUAAGAAUAAGCACCGGCUAACUACGUGCCAGCCGCCGCAGUAA
rnacentral:rRNA from 1 species